AUGGAGAUAUGGCAUAAAGCCAGAGAUAGACAGAGAGAGGCAGAAAAGAGGGAGAGAGAAAGACUAAUUAGACUGUCAACUUGAAAAGAUUCACAUCUCAUUUU
rfam:Monodelphis domestica chromosome 2, whole genome shotgun sequence.